AUACGGAGGGAGCGAGCGUUAAUCGGAAUUACUGGGCGUAAAGCGCGCGUAGGCGGCUUUGUAAGUCGGAUGUGAAAGCCCUGGGCUCAACCUGGGAAUGGCAUUCGAUACUGCAUGGCUAGAGUAUGGUAGAGGGAAGUGGAAUUUCCGGUGUAGCGGUGAAAUGCGUAGAUAUCGGAAGGAACACCAGUGGCGAAGGCGACUUCCUGGGCCAAUACUGACGCUGAGGUGCGAAAGCGUGGGGAGCAAACAGGAUUAGAAACCCUGGUAGUCC
rnacentral:rRNA from 1 species